rnacentral:rRNA from 1 species
CCUACGGGAGGCAGCAGUGGGGUAUAUUGCACAAUGGGCGCAAGCCUGAUGCAGCCAUGCCGUGUGUGUGAAGAAGGCCUUCGGGUUGUAAAGCACUUUCAGCGGGGAGGAAGGCGGUGAGGUUAAUAACCUCAUCGAUUGACGUUACCCGCAGAAGAAGCACCGGCUAACUCCGUGCCAGCAGCCGCGGUAAUACGGAGGGUGCAAGCGUUAAUCGGAAUUACUGGGCGUAAAGCGCACGCAGGCGGUCUGUCAAGUCGGAUGUGAAAUCCCCGGGCUCAACCUGGGAACUGCAUUCGAAACUGGCAGGCUAGAGUCUUGUAGAGGGGGGUAGAAUUCCAGGUGUAGCGGUGAAAUGCGUAGAGAUCUGGAGGAAUACCGGUGGCGAAGGCGGCCCCCUGGACAAAGACUGACGCUCAGGUGCGAAAGCGUGGGGAGCAAACAGGAUUAGAUACCCCUGUAGUC